rnacentral:rRNA from 1 species
CCUACGGGGGGCUGCAGUCUAGAGGCUUCGGCAAUGGGCGAAAGCCUGACCGAGCGACGCCGCGUGGAGGAUGAAGGCCUUCGGGUUGUAAACUCCUUUCGGCUGGAAGGAAAGUCCUGGUGGUGAACCAGGGUGUGACCGACCAGCGGAAGAAGCCCCGGCUAACUUCGUGCCAGCAGCCGCGGUAAUACGAAGGGGGCGAGCGUUAUUCGGAUUUAUUGGGCGUAAAGGGCGUGUAGGCGGCUGGGCAAGUCCGGUGUGAAAACGCUACCGCU